rnacentral:rRNA from 1 species
AGUGAACGCUGGCGGCGUGCCUAAUACAUGCAAGUCGAACGGAGUGGCGCACGGGUGAGUCAUAUAUAGCUAAUCUGCCCCUUGCCGGAGGACAACAGUUAGAAAUGCCUGCUAAUACUCCACAGCCAGGGAUGAGAAUAUAUCGUAUCAGCUAGUCGGUGGGGUAACGGCCUACCGAGGCAAUGACGCGUAACUGGUCUGAGAGGAUGAUCAGUCACAUUGGAACUGUGAACCGGUCCAAAAUCCUACGGGAGGCAGCAGUAGGGAAUCUUGCGCAAUGGGGGGAGGCCUGACGCAUCAACGCCGCGUGGAGGAUGACACUUUGCGGAGCGUAAACUCCUUUUGUUAGGGAGGCGGUACCUAACGAGUAAGCACCGGCUAACUCCGUGCCAGCAGCCGCGGUAAUAC